GGCACUGUGGCGCAAUGGUAGCGCGUUGGCUUCCGAUGCCAGAGGCUGCAGGUUCGAGUCCUGCCAGUGUCG